rnacentral:misc_RNA from 1 species
AUAGACUUCGCUUCCAUGUCCCGCAAUGAAUCGAGUGGGUUUGCCCAAAGCGCUGUCACCACGGAUCCCGUCCAGAUUCAACACCCGGAACCGUUCCCCCUACCGCAGGUGAACAUGCAGAGCGAAGGCCGCCUAGUGGCGACACCCAGCGGCGAGCAGGGCGUCCUCACCCUGGGCGCCGAGAAAGGGCUGGCCAAGAGCGGCCUCACCGUCAGCAUCGUCGUGGAGCCGGUCGAUCCAUCCGCGGCGGCUUGCGUCGACGAUGACCCCUACACCUGCAAAACACCCACACCUGCCGAGGAAGACAUGGUCCGAAGCCUAAUCAUGAACGCCGAGCUGCGUAAGGAGGAGUUUGCCAAGCUGCUCGAAGAGCACGCCCAGAUCGUCAUGGAGAUCAACAAGGCCGAGAACAGCCUCGCAUAGCCGCCUAUGGCCAGAGUUUCGCCACAAUUACCGCCACCAUUGCCACCUCCGCCGUCAGCGCCACCUAGGCCUACCGCAGCGCCACC